AACGCGAAGAACCUUACCAACGUUUGACAUGUCUAGUAUGGUUACCAGAGAUGGUUUCCUUCAGUUCGGCUGGCUAGAACACAGGUGCUGCAUGGCUGUCGUCAGCUCGUGUCGUGAGAUGUUGGGUUAAGUCCCGCAACGAGCGCAACCCUCGACCUUAGUUACCAUCAUUUAGUUGGGGACUCUAAGGUAACCGCCGGUGAUAAGCCGGAGGAAGGUGGGGAUGACGUCAAGUCCUCAUGGCCCUUACGCGUUGGGCUACACACGUGCUACAAUGGCAACUACAGUGGGCUGCGAACUCGCGAGGGUGAGCUAAUCUCCAAAAGUUGUCUCAGUUCGGAUUGCACUCUGCAACUCGAGUGCAUGAAGGCGGAAUCGCUAGUAAUCGCGAUCAGCAUG
rnacentral:rRNA from 1 species